rnacentral:piRNA from 1 species
UGAAAGGCAAAAUAAGGAUAA